CCUCCGGGAGGCAGCAGUGGGGAAUAUUGCACCAUGGGCGAAAGCCUGCUGCAGCAACGCCGCGUGCGCGAUGAAGGCCUUCGGGUCGUAAAGCUCUGUCCUCAAGGAAGAUAAUUACGGUACUUGAGGCGUAAGCCCCGGCUAACUACGUGCCAGCAGCCGCGGUAAUACGUAGGGGGCUAGCGUUAUCCGGCAUUACUGGGCGUAAAGGGUGCGUAGGUGGUUUCGUAAGUCAGAGGUGAAAGGCUACGGCUCAACCGUAGUAAGCCUUUGAAACUGGGAAACUUGAGUGCAGGAGAGGAGAGUGGAAGUCCUAGGGGAGCGGUGAAAUGCGUAGAUAUUAGGAGGAACACCAGUUGCGAAGGCGGAUCUCUGGACUGUAACGGACACUGAGGCACGAAAGCGUGGGGAGCAAACAGGAGUAGAGACCCUAGUAGUC
rnacentral:rRNA from 1 species